rnacentral:lncRNA from 1 species
GAGACAUGGUGUCCAUGCAUCAGUUGUGUUCAUGGUAAUAUGUGUUUAUUUGUGUUGAUAGAUUACCGGUCUGGCUUAGGGGAUCAUGGCUACUCCAGAGAGACUCAGCGGCCUGCUGAGAUUCAGAAACUCCUUGUGGAAUUCCGGACCCUUUACCACGAGCGCCUUCGACGCAUUGACCAAUCGGAUGACAGCCGGGAGGAGGCUCUGCAGAGCAAGGUGGGCGUGCUACAGUCGUUUGUGCGGGACCUGAGUGAGCAGAAUGAGGUUCUGAUCCAGGCGCUGGAGGCUGAGGAGGCGGAGGGCCGGGCGGUGGAGGGGAGAACAGUCAGCUUACACAAAGAGCUGGAGCGGCGCCUAUCCUUGGCUCUGUGCCCGAUGCCAGUAGACCUCGCGGGAACCACGGCAACGUUCCUCCGGACCCCUGGAGAAAUGGCAGACCAUUACAGGGAUGCGCAGACACACCUGUCUACCCAGGAUGCUAUACUUCAGCAGCUCAAAGAGGCCUGUCUAUCUCAGCAGGAAGCCCAGGUUAAAGUGGAGGAGCGUGAAGCCCAGGUCCAGGAGCUGCAGGACACCAUCACAGAGCUGCACCUGGAGAUGACCAGGAAGGACCAGGACAAGCUGACACAGCUGCAGGAGCUCCACCAGCUGGAGAGCAGGGUGAAGCAGCUCACUGACCAGGUCAGGAGCUCUGAGGAGACCAUUGGCCAGCUGAGACAGGAGGUGGCUGUUAGAGUGGGCAUCAGCAGCGCAACCCUGUGUGGGGGCGUGAGUACAGCAGGGAAAGGGAGUACUACUGACCCGACAGGAUCCAGUCCAGUCCCACAUCUUACAGAACAGAGGGGCAGAGAACUGCUGAAGACUGAGGUAGUCACACCCAUCAAGUCAAUAGCUACUGUAAUGUAGCAAUAAUCACCCAAUAAAGUCCCAGUGUCCCCCACACAUGACCAAAAUGCAAUGUACACCAUGAAGUAUUCUAGUCUUU